CUGCAUUUGUGACUGUAUAGCUAGAGUACGGCAGAGGGGGAUGGAAUUCCGCGUGUAGCAGUGAAAUGCGUAGAUAUGCGGAGGAACACCGAUGGCGAAGGCAAUCCCCUGGGCCUGUACUGACGCUCAUGCACGAAAGCGUGGGGAGCAAACAGGAUUAGAUACCCUGGUAGUCCACGCCCUAAACGAUGUCAACUGGUUGUUGGGUCUUCACUGACUCAGUAACGAAGCUAACGCGUGAAGUUGACCGCCUGGGGAGUACGGCCGCAAGGUUGAAACUCAAAUAAAUUGACGGGA
rnacentral:rRNA from 1 species